CAUUGUCACAGUAAGCUACAUUUUCCCCAUGAUUCAUUUUGUGUAAAACAAAAUGGAUGCUAAGCAAUGAAAGGCACAUGCUGUUUACAAAUGAUAUUAACAACUGCAGUAAAUGAGGAAACUGAAACAAAAUUGAGGAAGAGAAAGUGUUUGUUUGAAGAUAUUUUUAAAAAGAGAUAUGAACAAGAUUUCUAUACAAAUUUGAUUAAGCAGAUGAGAUUUAAGCCUAGAACACACCGAGACUUUUCUUUGCAGAAAUGCAGAAAGUCUGGCAAAAAGCAGAAAGAAAUUUAUGCAUAUCUAAACA
rnacentral:lncRNA from 1 species